AUUGAACGCUGGCGGCAUGCUUUACACAUGCAAGUCGAACGGCAGCGGGUCCUUCGGGAUGCCGGCGAGUGGCGAACGGGUGAGUAAUGCAUCGGAACGUACCCAGUCGUGGGGGAUAACGCAGCGAAAGUUGUGCUAAUACCGCAUACGACCUGAGGGUGAAAGUGGGGGACCGGUAACGGCCUCACGCGAUUGGAGCGGCCGAUGUCUGAUUAGCUAGUUGGUGGGGUAAAGGCCCACCAAGGCGACGAUCAGUAGCGGGUCUGAGAGGAUGAUCCGCCCCACUGGGACUGAGACACGGCCCAGACUCCUACGGGAGGCAGCAGUGGGGAAUUUUGGACAAUGGGGGCAACCCUGAUCCAGCCAUGCCGCGUGCGGGAAGAAGGCCUUCGGGUUGUAAACCGCUUUCGGACGGAAAGAAAUCGCAUGGGUUAAUACCCUGUGUGGAUGACGGUACCGUAAGAAGAAGCACCGGCUAACUACGUGCCAGCCGCCGCAGUAACAC
rnacentral:rRNA from 1 species